CUAAGCGUUUUCUUUAUUUAGAUUCUUUUAAAUCUUUCAUGAAGCACACACAAUAGGUUUAUAUCUCAGAUCAGAUCAUAGAGGUAAAUAAAAUAUUCAGUUACUUUCAAGAGUCAAAUUUUGUAUAAUACGGGAUAGCUUAAAAGGGAGUUAUUUCUAGUAUUUUCAUGCACGCUGCAUGAGCAUGUUAUCUGGGUCGGUUGGUGGACCAGUGGUGGUGGGGGGAGCUAACAUUUAGCUGCGAAAGACUGAUGGCAUUUUGCCAAAGUCCCAGGAAGGUUCGUGAUGACAAUUAUUCCCCUACCAUAGCACACACUGUUCUUCCGCAGACCACCAGUGACUCGACCCAGGCUGAUAAGCAAUGCUUUGUAUUCUUGAUGUGAUUUCAUGGACAAAGCUCCAUGAUGUUGUAUCAAGAUGUUCUGAAGAAGUCCUUGACUUUGGACAUUAGAAUGUCAAGUAGAACAGCAGCUCUCUCAGCUGGGUAGGUACCACUCCCCGUCAGAACUGCGCUGGUGCCUCAUAGGUCUGACCAUUCCCCACAUGCGUCUUUGCUUCUGGAGCUCUGAAAACUUCACUGCAUUCCCCAAAUGCCAGCUUCAAGAGACGUAAGAAACACAGAAUCUUUAUCAACCUAAUCUCUGCUUGUGAUGUCUGGCUUUCUGGCACUUUCUUCCUCUGCUGAAUCGUAACAAUGUUGCCAGGGAAACAAUUGGAACCCUCUCCCCAGUGACUGCCGUCGCUAAUACGAUGUGCCAAGUCUGCCCCGACUGUCCAGUUGAGACGUGGCUGGGGACGUUACCACCACCGUAAUUAUGGAGUCCACCCACCACUGCAGGGCCAAUAGAACAUCAAGUUUGGGAUUCUAUCGUGUGUAGUUUUUAUUGCCUUGUAAUACCAAAGUUUCGACUCAGAGAAGAAGCAUUAUAUGGAAACUUAGGCCGCACCGGAGAGGGCAGAUCAGGAUCCACACACCUGUGGCAGAGAGGAUCAAAGGGCCAAGAGGCCAAAGCCUUUCAGCUCUUGGGGCUUCAUGGCUACCUGGCAGUAACCUUCAGGACUGAAGAGUCACUUCACCAGCUUCCUCCAGGAUAGCUGACCUGGAUCCUGCAGAAGAGUCCUGGCUUUUGUGCCUGCCACGAGUCUAAUGGAGUCCCAGAUGAACCAUGCCAAUGCCUGAGCACUUGUAACAAAACAAGGGGAGAUUAAGAGGGAUGAAGUCAUCUGUGGAGGCAAGGAGCAAUUAACCACAUGAAGAAGGUGAAACAUCCUCAAUGAUAAGCCUCAGCAGCAAUUUACUCAGUGUUCUGUGUAUCUGCGAUCUGCACCAUGGCCUGCCUGAACUCACAUGGAAAAUUGAUGGCUCUGAACGACAAUUGUUGUAGUUGAGCUUCGCUGAUGGCACUUUUUAAAAACAGCAGUGGAAAAAAAUAACCGGGCACCAGUCAGAUGUGAUUUUUGGCAGACACUUCACCCAAGCUGCUCAGGGUAUCCCCAGAAAUUAUAAACCCUCAAAGGUGUUCAGGGUGGAGUAAAUAGAGCAAGACACAAUUAUUUGAAUGUUCAUCCUCUGGAUGCAGUUCUCCUCUCCUCAAGUCUGUAGUAACAAGGAUAUCCAUCUAAGUGAAAGGUCAGCUUUGAAGUAAGUAUAAAGUUAUUUACAGGAAAUGAAGCAGAAAGCAGGCUUUCACGCAUUUUGAAAUGUCUCUAUUAUUUAGGAGAAAAUGAACUGUGUCAUCAGUCCAAAGAAAAACAAAUGCC